UGCCUGUGACAGAGAUCAAGAGAAAGGACGUGAAAGAGAGUGUGUGUGAGAAAGUGAGUUCAUGUGUCCAACAAAGGCAUGAAUUAAAUGCUUUGCAGCCAUUUCCUGCCCUUUGAUUUGAUGUCUUUGGUGCAGGAGCCGAAUAAGUCGCAGUU
rnacentral:snoRNA from 1 species